rnacentral:tRNA from 1 species
AUUUAUAUAGUAUAUUAUUAUAUUUGACUUCCAAUCAAAAGAUCUAAAUUUUUAGUAUAAAUA